ensembl:lncRNA
GUUUCAUUCUUAGGCAACACGGAAGUUCUCACAAAGAGGCGUCUAGAACCUCCACUACGUGAAGUUCAAAGCGAGAAAAUAUUUUAUCUGCUGAAUGAUUAAUUCCAAAAGAAAGAAGCAAAUUACCAAGUGACAUAUUUUGAUGUAUUAAUAUUUCUGGAAUUCUGCAUAAUGGAUGAGUUGCAGAGCGUGAUGGAAGAGGAAUCAGAGGACACCCAUCUCCACGGGCCCAAGAUUGCUAAUUCUGACGUCCAAUCUGCCAUUUGAUACCAGCAGUGUGAGUUGUCAACACAAAUAAUAAAUUGACAGACAGGAGGAGGAGCUGGCUCACGUCUCUGGAGGAAGUUUCCAGACACCGAUUGCUGCAUGAAUUUGCAUCAAGACUGAACAGCAGGAGACGGUGGUCUAUUCUCAGCUGACCCUCCUGGGUGUCUCUGGACCCCAUAUCAGACUUCGUUGCCACACACCCAUUAUAGAAGUUUAAGGAAUUUUGAGGUAAGCAUGAGAGCAUUAGCAGGCUCAUUAGCCUGCUUCCUGAGUCAGCUGUCAACAUUCUGCCUUCAAAUUCAAGAUGAAUGAAAACAGAACAUGAGCGGAAAGACUUGUGAUCGACUGGGGAGGUGGACAUUCCUCCAGGGACCGGUUGACUUGAAUUAUUUCGUGUAUCAGGCUGUCUGAAGUUUAUCGCAUCUUUCCAUUGGGGUUUUGAUAUUCUGGAAUUCCCAAAACCUGUGUGAGAGUAGGGUUGUGGGCCCAGGAGAUGGUAAAUUCCUUACCGGCAAAAAGAAUGUACUUUCCCAGUGACGCUUGCAGCUCAUGGCAAUGUUCCUGCUGAAUGUUGGGUGCCAAGUGAAUGUUGGUUGAAGUGAAACUGCAGUUUGAUCUGAGUAGCUCAUUACAGUAUCACACACACCUAGGUCUCUUCCACAGUUGACUUCUCUGAGUCAUUGUAUAGAAUGGGGAAUACGGCCAAAAUUUUAUAAUAACUCUAAAUGGAGUAUAAUAAAAAAAUAUAGAAUCACAAAGAGUCGGGGCGACGGGAAGCAUGUGACCCCAGCAUGCCGAUUAAACGGCCGCGCAGAAGAGAAGCCAGCAGAUUUGCAUGUGAUAUUCGAUGAGACACCUCUGUGA